rnacentral:rRNA from 1 species
CAGCCGCCACGGGAAUACAGAGGGUGCAAGCGUUAAUCGGAAUUACUGGGCGUAAAGCGCGCGUAGGUGGUUUGUUAAGUUGGAUGUGAAAUCCCCGGGCUCAACCUGGGAACUGCAUCCAAAACUGGCAAGCUAGAGUAUGGUAGAGGGUGGUGGAAUUUCCUGUGUAGCGGUGAAAUGCGUAGAUAUAGGAAGGAACACCAGUGGCGAAGGCGACCACCUGGACUGAUACUGACACUGAGGUGCGAAAGCGUGGGGAGCAAACAGGAUUAGAGACCCCAGUAGUCCCUGUCUCUUAUAC